rnacentral:rRNA from 1 species
CCCUUAGAUGUUCUGGGCCGCACGCGCGCUACACUGAUGCAUUCAACGAGUCUAAAACCUGCUCUGAUAGGGGUGGGUAAUCUUUUGAAUGUGCAUCGUGAUUGGGAUAGAUGAUUGCAAUUUUUCAUCUUCAACGAGGAAUGCCUAGUAAACGCAAGUCAUCAGCUUGCAUUGAUUGCGUCCCUGCCCUUUGUACACACCGCCCGUCGCUCCUACCGAUUGAAUGAUCCGAUGAAUAUCAUGGAUUGAGGAUGCAAGUAGGUUAGCCUAUCUUCAUCUUCGAGAAGUGAAGUAAAUCUUAUCAUUUAGAGGAAGGAGAAGUCGUAACA